AUGCUUGUAAGCUUUGGCCUACAAGUGUUUCUCUUCUUGGCAGCAGGCAUGCGGAGGCGCAGCACGUCACACGUACUCACGUCACUGCUAUGGCUGGUCUACUUAUCAGCCGACUCCGUGGCCAUCUUUGUGCUGGGGCAUCUGGCUCUGCAUGCCAACGGACCCCAGCAUCAACUUCUCUUCUUCUGGGCGCCGUUUGUGCUCCUCCACCUGGGUGGGCAGGAUACCGUGACUGCCUUCUCCAUGCAGGACAACGAUCUAUGGAGGUGCCACCUCUUGGGGCUGGUCACCCAAGUUGCUGCAGCUGGCUACGUCGUCUCCAGGACUAGUUGGCCGGAUAGGCGCCUCCUGUAUGCCAUGGUGCUCAUGUUUGUCUGUGGGUGCCUUAAGUAUGCUGAACGUACCUUGUGCCUUUACAGAGCCAGCCCAAUAAGGAUCAAUCAGUAUUCAUCGGAUCAUUUGAGACAUUAUGCGUAUAAUACUGAAUUGGCGGUCCUUGGUUCUCAUGUUCAUCGGGAUAAGUUGGCCCAAAGAUUUAAGGACAUGGUUAAUCCCGAUUCGACAAGAUUUGGAGUAAGCGAGUAUUCGCUGGUAUCAGAUACUCCAACCAAUGAUGAGCUUAUUUCUGAAAUUGAAGAACAGUAUAUAUUAAGCUUACUCCAAGGGUUGAAAUCCAAUGAAGACUGCUACAGAGUAUAUAAUUAUGUCAGUGCAGAACUCGUUCAUAAUUAUGAACGGCUCUACACCAAGGCACCGAUUCGUACUAUUUGCAUAGAAUUUCUAUCUGAAAAAUUAUCGGACGGACCUGACCACGAGAAUUGGUCUUCAUUCCUGUGUGAUAUAUUUGUCCGUUCUGUUGGUUUUCUACUCUGCACGUUGCUCCUUCUCUUUCCAUUACUUUCAGUCUCGACAGCGCUGGUGUUAUUCAAGGUUGUUGAAAAGGGCCAACUGCACAGCCGAGCUGAUGUCACCGUGUCCUACAUAUUGCUGAUAGGGGCCAUAAUCUUGGAGGUGGCAUCUCUCUUCAUGUCUAUUCUACCCUGUGUGUCCAGCACGGAUAUAUUUCAGUGUGCAACAAACCAAUGGUCCGAAAUGCUUGGGCAGUACAACAUGACCACAAGUCUCACCAGACAUCAAGAUACUACAUGCAUCAUGUCGUUUGUGCACCAAAGGAUUGGAAAAUAUCUAGUAGAUGACAGUAUAUCCCACAUCCCCAUUACCCAAGAUCUCAAGAAGUUUGUCCUAGACAAACUGUUGGCCUUUGGAACCAGGGAACAAGACUGGAACUUUGCAAGCACCCACGGUAAAUUAGCACUUGGGAAAUGGAUGGACAGACAUCCACAAUGGAGGGACAGACAUACAGAUUCAGUUUCCGCAAGGCUAGAAACACCUCUAAACUCGGUCAUCAAUGAUUUGGAUCUCCCAACAAGCGUCCUCAUCUUGCACAUUGCAACAGACGUAUUAUACUUUCAAGACAACAAGAGCAUCAGUUCUGAUCGGCAAACAAUGAGGAAGAUGAGCACAGAGCUAUCAAAUUAUAUCAUGUAUCUUGUCUUCAAGUGUCGUGUGAUGCUUACACCCAGCACAGAGAUCCUGCACGACAAAGCCCACACGGAAAUGAAGUUCGUUUUACCAAAGCAUCUUCAUCUGGGUGAGAAGGAAUCUAUCAUGGAGGCAUUUGAAGCUAACAGAGAAGGCCAGGGUACUCCCAGGGAACAAGCAACUCAGAUGCAACUUCUCAAGAACUCGUUGAAAGCUAUCACUUCUCAGUUAUUCCCUAGUGCAUUUGACGUGGCCCAGGAGCUCAAUGAUAUCCACAGAGCCGAAGGUGACUGCUGGGACCUUGUCAGCGCAGUGUGGGUGGAAAUGCUUUACUACAUCGCGCCUCGUUGUGGAGGUGCUUUCCAUUCCUGGCAACUUACCACAGGUGGUGAGUUCAUCACACACGUCUUCUGCCUCAUGCAACAAUUAGGCCCUUUUCUACCACCUCCAAGUGCAUAG
rnacentral:rRNA from 1 species